UUCCUACGGGGGGCAGCAGUGAGGAAUAUUGGUCAAUGGCCGCAGGGCUGAACCAGCCAAGCCGCGUGAGGGAGGAAGGUACAGAGUAUCGUAAACCUCUUUUGUCAGGGGACAAAGGCGGGGACGUGUCCCCGGAUGAGUGUACCUGAAGAAAAAGCAUCGGCUAACUCCGUGCCAGCAGCCGCGGUAAUACGGAGGAUGCGAGCGUUAUCCGGAUUUAUUGGGUUUAAAGGGUGCGCAGGCGGUCUGUUAAGUCAGCGGUCAAAGCCCGGGGCUCAACCCCGGCCCGCCGUUGAAACUGGCCG
rnacentral:rRNA from 1 species